rnacentral:miRNA from 1 species
ACAUCAUUUCAACUGCCUCGGC